GGGGCUGUAGCUCAGUUGGGAGAGCGGUCGCAUCGACAGAUCGACAGUUCAUUCCUGAUCAGCUCCA
rnacentral:tRNA from 1 species